rnacentral:tRNA from 1 species
GGUUUUAUAUUCAUGUUUGUGAUGAUAGAAUGCAAUUCUAUAGGGGUGGUUUAAAUUUUACCACUAAAGCCU